GAUGUCGAUGAUGUCCCGCUCAGUCAAGCCCAGCUCCCGCUUCAGCACCUCCCGGUUCCAGUCGAUGCAGCUCUAGGGGGGUGGGUUGAGUUGGAGAGACCUUCCCAGUGGAUUUUGGGGCGACCCAGGAGGUCAUGGCUAGUUAAGGAGACAGGCUGCCCAACUGCCCAUGGACCAACUCGGCACACAAACCUUAACCUCUGUGUCCCUUUGUCAAAACACACCUGUUCUGGGUCCCACCUCUCACAGUCCUAUACCACUAACUGGGCUAGUUCCAGAGUGUUCCACAGCAUUCUGUUUUUGUGAGUGUUCCAGAAUGUUCCAUCUUUUGCCCUCUUCCCUUCUUCACAUCCUUCACGCCUUAGGGGGCUCUCCUUGAGUCUCAUGGUUUAAAACACCACCUACACACAGACAACUCCCACAUUUCUAUUUCCCAACUGCUUUAUAGACCCACCCUCUUUCCUGAUCUCAGAUUUGCACAUACAACCACCGCUUUGCAUCUUCACCUGGAUGGCUAAUUGGCACAUCAGAUAUAACACGUCCAAAGACAAACUCUUCAUUUCUACAUGCGCCACGCCCCCCCACCCCCAGCCUGGUUGACAACUUCGUAACCAGUCUCCUUGCUUCUUCUGCUUUCAUGCCCUGUGGCAGCCAGCAUCACGUUCCUCACAGAACUCCAGCUAUGGGGGUAGACUCGACCAAGGGCCUUGCUGCCUGGCCCUGGCUCUGAAAUCCCAGGGCCACACCUUCCAGUUGCUAAGAGCCAAAGGUCUAGGGGUGGUGACAACUCCCCUCUCUCUAACCUGGGGAUACCGCACAGUCCCCUGUUGAUUUCCUCAGACCCUGCCUGCGCCUUUGGUCCAUACCCAGCAUGGAGCCCAAUGUAGGGCUUGAACUUGGG